rnacentral:rRNA from 1 species
GACGAACCGUGCGAACGUUGUUCGGAAUCACUGGGCUUAAAGGGCGCGUAGGCGGACACGCCAGUCCGGGGUGAAAUCUUUCGGCUCAACCGGAAAAGGGCCUUGGAUACUGCGUGUCUGGAGGAAGGUAGGGGCAUGCGGAACUUCCGGUGGAGCGGUGAAAUGCGUUGAUAUCGGAAGGAACGCCGGUGGCGAAAGCGGCGUGCUGGACCUUUACUGACGCUGAGGCGCGAAAGCCAGGGGAGCGAACGGG